UACAGAGGGGGCAAGCGUUGUUCGGAAUUACUGGGCGUAAAGGGCGCGUAGCGGCCUGCCUAAGUCAGACGUGAAAUCCCUACGGCUCAACCUGGGGAACUGCGUCUGAUACUGGGUGGCUUGGAAUCCGGAGAGGGAUGCGGAAUUCCAGGUGUAGCGGUGAAAUGCGUAGAUAAUCUGGAGGAACACCGGUGGCGAAGGCGG
rnacentral:rRNA from 1 species